rnacentral:rRNA from 1 species
GACGAACGCUGGCGGCAUGCCUAAUACAUGCAAGUCGAACGCUUCUUUUCAAGGGUGCUUGCACCUUUGAAAGAGGAGUGGCGAACGGGUGAGUAACACGUGGGGAACUUGCCCAUGAGUGGGGGAUAACAUUCGGAAACGGAUGCUAAUACCGCAUAAGUCUCUUUUUCGCAUGAAAGAGAGAUAAAAGACGGCUUCGGCUGUUGCUCAUGGAUAGCCCCGCGGCGUAUUAGCUAGUUGGUGAGGUAUCUGCUCACCAAGGCUGUGAUACGUAGCCGACCUGAGAGGGUGAUCGGCCACACUGGGACUGAGACACGGCCCAGACUCCUACGGGAGGCAGCAGUAGGGAAUCUUCCGCAAUGGACGAAAGUCUGACGGAGCAAUGCCGCGUGAGUGAAGAAGGUUUUCGGAUCGUAAAGCUCUGUUAUCGGGGAAGAACAAGGAUCGGAGUAACUGCCGGUCCCUUGACGGUACCCGACCAGAAAGCCACGGCUAAC